ACCCCUGUGCAUCGCCGGGUGUGACCCAGAAAAAAAAUCAAGUGUAGUAUCUCUUCUUAUCAGUUUAAUAUCAGAAGCUUCCUCUGCCUUAGAACAAUAAAUUAGAUCGACUUUUGGAGCCAGAAGUUCCUCUAAGCGCUUGUUCUGUCCACAUAAGACAUGAGCCUGGUAUUUCAGUUCUUCCAGGAAUAGUGCAUACCUU
rnacentral:snRNA from 1 species